rnacentral:lncRNA from 1 species
AUUGUGAAUCGAGGGUCAUGACAACCGCCGCAUACUUAUAGAAUACUUUUCCCAUAAGCAUGCAAGGCAUCUCAUCAUGAUAUCUUCACAAACAGUUAAAUAAUUUUUUCUUUAUUCAAUAAUCAAACCUUGGUUCAAAUAACAAAUCAAAACUAAGUGUUCAAAAGAAAGUAACUGUCUGACAAAGCCAAUACUAAAAACAAAACUAAAGGUCUUGAAUCAAUUCUGAGAAAAAUCCUAAAUCAAUGAGUUAACUCCAUCUCUAAUCGCUCUCCCAACCGAAAUCCCG